rnacentral:rRNA from 1 species
GACGAACGCUGGCGGCGUGCUUAACACAUGCAAGUCGAACGGAAAGGCCCUGCUUUUGUGGGGUGCUCGAGUGGCGAACGGGUGAGUAACACGUGAGUAACCUGCCCUUGACUUUGGGAUAACUUCAGGAAACUGGGGCUAAUACCGGAUAGGAGCUCCUGCUGCAUGGUGGGGGUUGGAAAGUUUCGGCGGUUGGGGAUGGACUCGCGGCUUAUCAGCUUGUUGGUGGGGUAGUGGCUUACCAAGGCUUUGACGGGUAGCCGGCCUGAGAGGAUGACCGGCCACAUUGGGACUGCGAUACGGCCCAGACUCCUACGGGAGGCAGCAGUGGGGAAUAUUGCACAAUGGGCGGAAGCCUUAUGCAGCAACGCCGCGUGCGUGAUGACGGCCUUCGGGUUGUAAACCGCUUUCGCCUGUGACGAAGCGUGAGUGACGGUAAUGGGUAAAGAAGCACCGGCUAACUACGUG